rnacentral:rRNA from 1 species
UAUAUGCUUGUCUCAGAGAUUAAGCCAUGCAUGUCUAAGUACAUACCUUGAAACGGUGAAACCGCGAAUGGCUCAUUAAAUCAGCUAUGGUUCCUUGGAUCGUACAUACUACAUGGAUAACUGUAGUAAUUCUAGAGCUAAUACAUGCCACUAUGCCCUGACCCGCGAGGGAACGGGUGGAUUUAUUAGAACAGAACCAACCGGGGGCGGCUUCGGUCGUCCCUGUUGCAUUUUUU